GUGUCAGCAGCCGCGGUAAUACGAAGGGUGCAAGCGUUAAUCGGAAUUACUGGGCGUAAAGCGUGCGUAGGUGGUUUGUUAAGUCGGAUGUGAAAGCCCCAGGCUCAACCUGGGAAGUACAUACGAAACUGGCGCGCUUGAGUAUGGAAGAGGGUCGCGGAAUUCCAGGUGUAGAGGUGAAAUUCGUAGAUAUCGGGAGGAACACCUGUGGCGAAGGCGGCUACCUGGACCAGCACUGACACUGAGGCACGAAAGCGUGGGGAGCAAACAGGAUUAGAUACCCUAGUAGUCC
rnacentral:rRNA from 1 species